ACCUACGGGGGGCAGCAGUAGGGAAUUUUCGUCAAUGGGCGCAAGCCUGAACGAGCAAUGCCGCGUGAACGAGGAAGGUCUUCGGAUCGUAAAGUUCUGUUGAAGGGGAAAAAGAGCGGAGAGAGGAAAUGCUUUCUGAUUGAUAUUACCCUUCGAGGAAGUCACGGCUAACUACGUGCCAGCAGCCGCGGUAAUACGUAGGUGGCGAGCGUUAUCCGGAAUGAUUGGGCGUAAAGGGUGCGUAGGCGGCCUGCUAAGUCUGGAGCGAAAGGUACCGGCUCAACCGGUACAGGCUCUGGAAACUG
rnacentral:rRNA from 1 species